ACUUCAAGAUGUGGAGAUGAUGUUGACAAAAUUUAAGUGUGGCCAAUAAUUAAUGCAAACUGUCACCAACAAAAGAAAGAUAACACAGCCACAUCACAUACACAUAACCACAAACAUUUCAUUAAUUUUACUUCAUAUCACCACAAACAUUUCAUUAACUCCAACUUUUAAAUACUAAAGCCUAAAUGGACCACUAAACCCAAACUCAAAUGUAAACUAUAUUAUAUAUUUAUAAUUUUAAAUAAAAUUAAAAUCUGAAAAUAUAUAUAAUAUUUUGUGAUAUUAAACUAUAGUAUAUAAAGAUGGAAAAUAUCAUACUAAACUCUAAAUCCAACUACUAAACUCUAAACCCAACCCCUAAUUACUAAACUCUAAAUCAUGGCCACUAAAUUCUAAACCAAAGUCUAAGCUAUAAUAUAUAUUUAAAAGAAAAUCAAAAUCUGAAAUAUAUAAUAUUUUAUAAUAUUUUCAAGUACUAUACAUACAUAGUAUAGAACAUUAUAUAAAAUAGUAUGCAAAUGUUUGUUCUAUUUAUGUUAGUUGGGAAUCAUAUGUAAAAUAGUAGAAGAAAAAAUAAAAGUACUUGUUGAUGAAAAAGACGUUCUUAAACUAGACAUGACCCUAAUAUUGUCAAACUUUUGAAUGAAACUAAUUUUAUAUUACGAGCAAUCAUACAAAAUGGCAUGGAAGAGAAAUAUCAAAUUUGAAGACAUGACAUAUAAACCCUAAACCCUAAACUCUAGUUUGAAAAUAAAAUUACUAAACCCUAAACCCUAAUCACUAAACCAUAAACACAAAUAUAAACCCUAAACCCUAAUCACUAAACCCUUAACCCAGAUAUAGACCCUAAACACUAAUCACUAAACCCUAAAUCCUAAUCACUAAACCCUAAACCCAAAUAUAAAUCCUAAACCCUAAUCGCUAAACCCUAAACCCAAAUAUAAACCCUAAACCCUAAUCACUAAACCCUAAACCCAAAUAUAAACCCUAAACCCAAAUCACUAAACCUUAAACCCAAAUAUAAACCCUAAACCCAAAUAUAAACCCUAAACCAUAACCACUAAACUCUAAACCCAAAUAUAAACCCUAAAAAUUAAACUCUGCUCACCCACUUAAAUUCUAAAACCCUAGACAAACCCCUAGUUACUAAAUCUAAACCCAAAUAACUAAAGUAUAAAUCCAAACAAUCUAUAUAAUAUGUUGUCAAUUUUCUCAAUGUAGACGACAUAGUAUGGAACCGGUAUAAAUAGUAUAGAUGUACUGGUCCACUCCAUUUACAUUUUCCAAAUGACCAAGUUUAAGAACGAAAUUACUAAACCCUAAACACUAAUUACUAAAUCACGCCUUCAUCGUUGCCUCUUUUUUACCACAGUUGAUUGAUCUUCUCUUGAGAAAAAAUCAAUUCAAGAAAAAAUCUGGGAAGAAGAAUUUUAUCUACUCUAAAGUUACCAAAACAAAGCACAU
rnacentral:lncRNA from 1 species